AGUGAACGCUGGCGGUAGGCCUAACACAUGCAAGUCGAACGGCAGCACAGUAAGAGCUUGCUCUUACGGGUGGCGAGUGGCGGACGGGUGAGGAAUACAUCGGAAUCUACUUUUUCGUGGGGGAUAACGUAGGGAAACUUACGCUAAUACCGCAUACGACCUACGGGUGAAAGCAGUGGAUCUUCGGACCUUGCGCGAUUGAAUGAGCCGAUGUCGGAUUAGCUAGUUGGCGGGGUAAAGGCCCACCAAGGCGACGAUCCGUAGCUGGUCUGAGAGGAUGAUCAGCCACACUGGAACUGAGACACGGUCCAGACUCCUACGGGAGGCAGCAGUGGGGAAUAUUGGACAAUGGGCGCGAGCCUGAUCCAGCCAUACCGCGUGGGUGAAGAAGGCCUUCGGGUUGUAAAGCCCUUUUGUUGGGAAAGAAAAGCAACGGGUUAAUACCCCGCUGUUCUGACGGUACCCAAAGAAUAAGCACCGGCUAACUUCGUG
rnacentral:rRNA from 1 species